rnacentral:rRNA from 1 species
AUACGUAGGGUGCAAGCGUUAAUCGGAAUUACUGGGCGUAAAGCGUGCGCAGGCGGUUCGGAAAGAAGGAUGUGAAAUCCCAGGGCUCAACCUUGGAACUGCAUUCUUAACUACCGAACUAGAGUAUGUCAGAGGGGGGUAGAAUUCCGCGUGUAGCAGUGAAAUGCGUAGAUAUGCGGAGGAAUACCGAUGGCGAAGGCAGCCCCCUGGGAUAAUACGAACUCUCAUGCACUAAAGCGUGGGUAGCAAACAGGAUUAGAUACCCUGGUAGUCCACGCCCUAAACGAUGUCAACUAGCUGUUUGGCCCUUCGGGGCUGAUUAGCGUAGCUAACGCGUGAAGUUGACCGCCUGGGGAGUACGGUCGCAAGAUUAAAACUCAAAUGAAUUGACGGGG